rnacentral:rRNA from 1 species
CCUACGGGAGGCAGCAGUGAGGGAUAUUGCGCAAUGGGCGAAAGCCUGACGCAGCGACGCCGCGUGGGCGAGGAAGGCCUUCGGGUUGUAAAGCCCUUUUGGCAGGGAAGAGCAAGGACUGUACCUGCAGAACAAGUCACGGCUAACUACGUGCCAGCAGCCGCGGUAAAACGUAGGUGGCGAGCGUUAUCCGGAAUCACUGGGCGUAAAGGGCGUCUAGGCGGACGGGUAAGUCGUGCGUGAAAGCUUCCGGCUCAACCGGGAGAGGUCGUACGAUACUGCCUGUCUUGAGGGUCGGAGAGGGACGUGGAAUUCCCGGUGUAGCGGUGAAAUGCGUAGAAAUCGGGAGGAAGGCCGGUGGCGAAGGCGGCCCUCUGGCGCUUGACUGACGCUGAGGCGCGAAAGCGUGGGGAGCAAACAGGAUUAGAUCCCCUUGUAGU